AAAAUUUCGUUGAUGAGGAAAGUAAGUUUGGCGUACAUUUUAGAGAGACACUGGUUGGUGAAAAGUGUUAUGGACAAAAAGCUGAAAAUGGCCUAAGAGAAAAAGUUUGCCGAUAAGUAGGCAGCUUCGGAUGUUUCACCGUUAAAAGAAGCACCAAUCUUUAUGAUAAAUUUCAUAAACGUUGGAUAGAGGAAAGCAAUUGCUUUUGAACUAAGGUGGUAACACGAUUAUUCGUCCUUUUA
rfam:Enterococcus dispar ATCC 51266 genomic scaffold acpMG-supercont1.1, whole genome shotgun sequence.